AUUGAACGCUGGCGGCGUGCUUAACACAUGCAAGUCGUGCGGUAACAGGCGUAGCAAUACGUGCUGACGAGCGGCGAACGGGUGCGUAAUACAUGGGAAUCUGCCCUUUAGUGGGGAAUAACCCGGCGAAAGCCGGGCUAAUGCCGCAUAAGAUCUUCGGAUGAAAGCGGGGAUCGUAAGACCUCGCGCUGAUGGAUGAGCCCAUGUCGGAUUAGCUAGNGGUUGAGGUAACGGCUCACCAAGGCGACGAUCCGUAGCUGGUCUGAGAGGACGGCCAGCCACACUGGGACUGAGACACGGCCCAGACUCCUACGGGAGGCAGCAGUGGGAAUCUUGCGCAAUGGGCGAAAGCCUGACGCAGCGACGCCGCGUGAGGGAUGACGG
rnacentral:rRNA from 1 species